AUGUCCUCUUCAGGCUAUGUCGCCGUUCCUCGAUGCUCGGUGAUCUUCGAUGGCAUGAACUAUGCUGAGUUUGUGGGCUUCAUGCGCAUCCAUAUGUGUGGGCUCCUUUUGUGGGGUGUUCUUUCUGGCGAGGUCCCCUGUCCGCCCUGCCCUGUUGCGCCCGUGGCUCCAAUACCACCGGUGCCGCCGGUCCUUGUUGCCAAUGCUUCUCAGGCUGACCGGGAUACUGCCAAGGCUUUGGAUGAUGCUGCGGUUGAUGCUUAUGAUCAGCAGGUAUCCGCUUAUUCCGAUGCUCUCUCUGUGUACCGGGAUGAUCUGUCUGCUUACACUUAG
rnacentral:rRNA from 1 species